rnacentral:rRNA from 1 species
GCACAGUAGUUAGCCGGUGCUUAUUCUGUCGGUACCGUCAUUACAUAUACGGUAUUAGGUCACUGCCCUUCCUCCCUAGCUUAAAGUGCUUUACAUUCCGAAGACCUUCUUCACACACGCGGCAUGGCUGGAUCAGGCUUUCGCCCAUUGUCCAAUAUUCCCCA